rnacentral:ribozyme from 1 species
AGGAGCCGUGUGCGGGGAAACUUGCAAGCACGGUUUUGAA